UACGAAGGUGGCAAGCGUUACUCGGAUUUACUAGGCGUAAAGAGCGUGUAGGCGGCUAGGUAGGUCCGUUGUGAAAACUCGAGGCUCAACCUCGAGACGCCGAUGGAAACCAUCUAGCUAGAGUCCGGAAGAGGAGAGUGGAAUUCCUGGUGUAGCGGUGAAAUGCGCAGAUAUCAGGAAGAACACCCGUGGCUAAGGCGGCUCUCUAGUACGGUACUGACGCUGAGACGCGAAAGCGUGGGGAGCGAACAGG
rnacentral:rRNA from 1 species